rnacentral:rRNA from 1 species
GAUGAACGCUGGCGGCGUGCCUAAUACAUACAAGUCGAGCGAACAGACGAGGAGCUUGCUCCUCUGACGUUAGCGGCGGACGGGUGAGUAACACGUGGAUAACCUACCUAUAAGACUGGGAUAACUUCGGGAAACCGGAGCUAAUACCGGAUAAUAUAUUGAACCGCAUGGUUCAAUAGUGAAAGACGGUUUUGCUGUCACUUAUAGAUGGAUCCGCGCCGCAUUAGCUAGUUGGUAAGGUAACGGCUUACCAAGGCAACGAUGCGUAGCCGACCUGAGAGGGUGAUCGGCCACACUGGAACUGAGACACGGUCCAGACUCCUACGGGAGGCAGCAGUAGGGAAUCUUCCGCAAUGGGCGAAAGCCUGACGGAGCAACGCCGCGUGAGUGAUGAGGGUCUUCGGAUCGUAAAACUCUGUUAUUAGGGAAGAACAAAUGUGUAAGUAACUAUGCACGUCUUGACGGUACCUAAUCAGAAAGCCACGGCUAACUACGUG